rnacentral:rRNA from 1 species
CCUACGGGGGGCAGCAGUGGGGAAUAUUGGGCAAUGGGCGCAAGCCUGACCCAGCAACGCCGCGUGAAGGAAGAAGGCUUUCGGGUUGUAAACUUCUUUUAUCAGGGACGAAGCAAGUGACGGUACCUGAUGAAUAAGCCACGGCUAACUACGUGCCAGCAGCCGCGGUAAUACGUAGGUGGCAAGCGUUAUCCGGAUUUACUGGGGGUAAAGGGCGUGUAGGCGGGAAAGCAAGUCAGAUGUGAAAACCAUGGGCUCAACCUGUGGCCUGCAUUUGAAACUGUUUUUCUUGAGUACUGGAGAGGCAGACGGAAUUCCUAGUGUAGCGGGGAAAUGCGUAGAUAUUAGGAGGAACACCAGUGGCGAAGGCGGUCUGCUGGACAGCAACUGACGCUGAGGCGCGAAAGCGUGGGGAGCAAACAGGAUUAGAUACCCGGGUAGUC